GAUGAACGCUAGCGGCAGGCCUAAUGCAUGUAAGUCGAACGGAGUGGAGCAGCAAUGCUUCACUUAGUGGCGCACGGGUGCGUAACGCGUAUGCAACCUACCUUUUAUUGGGGGAUAGCCCGAAGAAAUUCGGAUUAAUACCGCAUAAUAUCAUUUGAGGGCAUCUGAGGAUGAUGAAAGCUUUGGCGAUAAAAGAUGGGCAUGCGUGUCAUUAGCUAGUUGGUCGAGGUAACGGCUCACCAAGGCGACGAUGACUAGGGGUUCUGAGAGGAUGAUGCCCCACCAUGGUACUGAGAUACGGACCAGACUCCUACUGGAGACAGGAGUAGGGAAUAUUGGGCAAUGGCGGAAACGGUGACCCAGCCAUGCCGCGUGCCGGAUGAAGGCCUGUUGGGUUGUAAACGGCUUUUACCAGGGAAGAACCUACCUUUGCGAAGGGAACUGACGGUACCUUGUGAAUAAGCACCGGCUAACUCCGUGCCAGCAGCCGCGGUAAAAC
rnacentral:rRNA from 1 species